AUAAAGUUUUAUUUUAGCUUAAAAAAUUUAUAUUUAUAUUAUUUUACAUAAAAAUUUUUGUACUUAUAAUAGUAAUUUUUAAAAAAUUAUUUUAUUUAAUUUUUAAUAUUAGUAAUUAAUAUUAAUAAUUUUAAAAGAAAUUUUUAAUUAGUGGUUUAUUUAUUAUUAGUUAAAAUUGUGCCAGCAUCUGCGGUUAUACAAUUAAUAUAAAUAAAUUUUAUCAAUUAAAGUUAUGAUAGUAGAUUAAAAACAGUAAUUUUUAUUUAAUUUUAUAAAGUUAAAUUUUAUAUUUAUAAUAAGUUAUAAAUAUUUUUAAUAAAAAAUUAUCUAAGCCUUAAGAAUUUUUAUAUUAAACUAGGAUUAGAUACCCUAUUAUAAAAAGUUAAUUAAAUUAAUUAUAUUAGUAUUAGAUAUGUAUUCUUGAAAAUUAAUAAAUUUGGCGGUAUUUUAUUCUAUUCAGAGGAAUUUGUUUUAUAAUUGAUAAUACUCAUUAUACCUUACUUAAUUUAUUAAAAUUUGUAUAUCGUCGUCGUAUUGAAUAUCUUAUAAGAGAAAAAAAAAUAUUCAUUAAUUUAAAUAAUAAAAUUUAUGUCAGAUCAAGGUGCAGUUUAUAAUUAAGAAAAAAUGAAUUACAAUAAAUCUAUUUAUAAUGAAUAAUUAAUUUAAAUAAUAUUUUGAAGGAGGAUUUGUUAGUAAAUUUAUUUUAAAUAUAAAAAUAAAUUAAAUAUAGUUUUAAAAUAUGCACAUAUUGCCCGUCGCUCUUAUAUUAAAGAUAGGAUAAGUCGUAACAUAGUAAAAGUACUGGAAAGUGUUUUUAGAUUAAA
rnacentral:ncRNA from 1 species